rfam:Dacryopinax sp. DJM-731 SS1 chromosome Tnknown DACRYscaffold_1, whole genome shotgun sequence.
UCCCGACUAGCGCAAUUGGCCAGAGCGUCAGACUUUUAAGCUUUGUCCCGGGAGCAAUCUGAAGGUUGUGGGUUCGACCCCCACGUCGGGAG